ACGGAAUAGAUACCCGGGUAGUCCACGCCCUAAACGAUGUCUACUAGUUGUCGGGUCUUAAUUGACUUGGUAAACGCAGCUAAACGCGUGAAAGUAGACCGCCUGGGGAGUACGGUCGCAAGAUUAAAACUCAAAGGAAUUGACGGGGACCCGCACAAGCGGUGGAUGAUGUGGAUUAAUUCGAUGCAACGCGAAAAACCUUACCUACCCUUGACAUGGAUGGAAUCCCUGAGAGAUUGGGGAGUGCCCGAAAGGGAACCAUUACACAGGUGCUGCAUGGCUGUCGUCAGCUCGUGUCGUGAGAUGUUGGGUUAAGUCCCGCAACGAGCGCAACCCUUGUCAUUAGUUGCUACGAAAGGGCACUCUAAUGAGACUGCCGGUGACAAACCGGAGGAAGGUGGGGAUGACGUCAAGUCCUCAUGGCCCUUAUGGGUAGGGCUUCACACGUCAUACAAUGGUACAUACAGAGGGCCGCCAACCCGCGAGGGGGAGCUAAUCCCAGAAAGUGUAUCGUAGUCCGGAUUGUAGUCUGCAACUCGACUGC
rnacentral:rRNA from 1 species